CCUUUGUACACACCGCCCGUCGCUACUACCGAUUGAAUGGCUCAGUGAGGCCUCCGGACUGGCUCGAAGAGGUUGGCAACGACCACUUCGAGCCGGAAAGCUGGUCAAACUCGGUCAUUUAGAGG
rnacentral:rRNA from 1 species